rnacentral:piRNA from 1 species
GAUGGCUGGUGGUGUGGCAGCUUCAACG